rnacentral:rRNA from 1 species
AUUAUCGAAAGCUUGGAUCUCAGAGAGAUAGAGCUCUCGGGUAGGAAAUUCACUUGGGCUAAUUCGUUACCGGUACCGAUGUUUGAGAAACUUGACCGUGUUCUAGCUAGUGUGGCAUUGACACAAGGUGUCUCUGAUCACACACCGUUACUAGUCGACUCGGGCGUUCAAACAUUUGUGGGCAACAAGAACAUUUUCUCGUUUGAACUUGCCUGGUUUGAAAGAGAAGGGUUCCUCGAGUUGUUAGCUCGGGAGUGGGCUAAAGACUCAGGAGGAAGGACGCCUAUCGAGCGAUGGCAAUGCAAGAUUCGUCAUCUCCGAAGGUUCCUUCGUGGAUGGGCUAAGCACACGCACGGUAUUUAUAAGGCGGAGAAGGAGAGACUUCUUCUACUUAUUCAAAACCUUGAAGUUAAAGCAGAAACUUCUAUCUUGGAUUCCAGUGAGUUGGAAACGAAGAUAGAGGCGGAGAUGCGACUUAAAAAGCUUCUUCGCAAGGAGGAAUUGAAGUGGGCAUUGCGAGCUAAGGUUCGCAAAAUAGUACAAGGCGAGGAUAAUACUCAAUUCUUUCAUAUGAUUGCUAAUGGGAAGCAUCAUAAAAAGAGAAUUUUCCAACUAGAA